rnacentral:rRNA from 1 species
CUACCAUGCAAGUCGAACGGCUAGCACAGAGAGCUUGCUCUCGGGUGACGAGUGGCGGACGGGUGAGUAAUGUCUGGGAAACUGCCUGAUGGAGGGGGAUAACUACUGGAAACNAGUAGCUAAUACCGCAUAACGUCGCAAGACCAAAGAGGGGGACCUUCGGGCCUCUUGCCAUCAGAUGUGCCCAGAUGGGAUUAGCUAGUAGGUGGGGUAACGGCUCACCUAGGCGACGAUCCCUAGCUGGUCUGAGAGGAUGACCAGCCACACUGGAACUGAGACACGGUCCAGACUCCUACGGGAGGCAGCAGUGGGGAAUAUUGCACAAUGGGCGCAAGCCUGAUGCAGCCAUGCCGCGUGUAUGAAGAAGGCCUUCGGGUUGUAAAGUACUUUCAGCGGGGAGGAAGGUGUUGUGGUUAAUAACCGCAGCAAUUGACGUUACCCGCAGAAGAAGCACCGGCUAACUCCGUGCCAGCAGCCGCGGUAAUACGGAGGGUGCAAGCGUUAAUCGGAAUUACUGGGCGUAAAGCGCACGCAGGCGGUCUGUCAAGUCGGAUGUGAAAUCCCCGGGCUCAACCUGGGAACUGCAUUCGAAACUGGCAGGCUAGAGUCUUGUAGAGGGGGGUAGAAUUCCAGGUGUAGC